UCCGGUGAUUUUAACGUGGAGGCUACACCCGUUCCCAUUCCGAACACGGUAGUUAAGCUCCACAGUGCCGAUGAUACUUGGAGGGUGACUUCCUGGGAAAGUAGGUCGUUGCCGGAA
rnacentral:rRNA from 1 species